rnacentral:rRNA from 1 species
AUUGAACGCUGGCGGCAGGCCUAACACAUGCAAGUCGAGCGGAUGAGUGGAGCUUGCUCCCUGAUUCAGCGGCGGACGGGUGAGUAGUGCCUAGGAAUCUGCCUGGUAGUGGGGGACAACGUUUCGAAAGGAACGCUAAUACCGCAUACGUCCUACGGGAGAAAGUGGGGGAUCUUCGGACCUCACGCUAUCAGAUGAGCCUAGGUCGGAUUAGCUAGUUGGUGAGGUAAAGGCUCACCAAGGCGACGAUCCGUAACUGGUCUGAGAGGAUGAUCAGUCACACUGGAACUGAGACACGGUCCAGACUCCUACGGGAGGCAGCAGUGGGGAAUAUUGGACAAUGGGCGAAAGCCUGAUCCAGCCAUGCCGCGUGUGUGAAGAAGGUCUUCGGAUUGUAAAGCACUUUAAGUUGGGAGGAAGGGCAGUAAGUUAAUACCUUGCUGUUUUGACGUUACCAACAGAAUAAGCACCGGCUAACUUCGUG